UACGGAGGAUCCAAGCGUUAUCCGGAAUUACUGGGCGUAAAGAGUUGCGUAGGUGGCAUGUUAAGCGAGUAGUGAAAGCGUGGGGCUCAACCCCAUACACAUUACUCGAACUGGCAAGCUAGAGGACGAGAGAGGCAUCUGGAAUUCCUAGUGUAGGAGUGAAAUCCGUAGAUAUUAGGAGGAACACCGAUGGCGUAGGCAGGGUGCUGGCUCGUUCCUGACACUAAGGCACGAAAGCGUGGGGAGCAAACGGG
rnacentral:rRNA from 1 species